ensembl:lncRNA
AAUAAUGCCAGUCUUCAGUGAAAUGCAAAUGCAAAAAGAUGCAAGCUCUGGAUGGAGAGAUGACUACGGCUUGGAUGAUGGCUGCUUCCUAUUUAUGGACAAAUGCCACAUUCAUACAGUAUGCAGUGUCUUGGUGCUCACACAGAGCUCUUGGGAGAUUUUGUUGCGAGGAACGAGGGAAAUGGUAACCAUAACAACAGAAGUCAACGAUAUCGCUGGAAAUGAAGUGUCCCCAACUAAGCAAGCCAGAGGUGACAGCGGCAAGGAACCAAAAUUCCAUCGGUGACAGAAUGGAGAAAAAACCUUGGGUGUAACCAGGCUCAGUCGGAGGGCCACUUCUCCUCUGGCCAGACGAAACCAGCAGUUCAAUUCCAGGCUGCAGCAAAGUCUCAUUGUGCAGAGGACUCAGUCUUAACCUUUUGUUCUUAACUGGUUGCAUACUUUUUGCCACACUCUAAGUGUAAAACGUCUGGUGAUGCUGCCGCCUGAAACAAACCUUGAAAAGACAUCUUUUUAAUUUGUUUUAAAUGAAUUCUUAUUUUCUUUUAACAUUUUGUAUACUUUAAUAUAUGAUUACUAUUAUUAUUACUAUUANNNNNNNNNNNNNNNNNNNNNNNNNNNNNNNNNNNNNNNNNNNNNAUAUAUUGUUUAUAUAAUAUUUGUUGAUUUAUUUUAUGUUUUCACCCUGAUCUAUUCUGCCGAGGGGUUUUAUGGUAUGUCUCAUGUGAGCAUUGCAUAAAGCAUCAAUAAUAGGAGUUCUUUUGAAGAGGCAGACGGCAGCUGCUGUCAUCGCUGGGCGUCCUGCCUGCUCCUGUCGCUCAUGAAGGGGUUAAACCCUUCUGUGCAUCACAGACGGUUGAGUCAUCCCUUCAUCAUGUCAGGGGAAGGGAAAUGUCUUUAUCUUGCUCUAAACAAGACUAAAGUCUGUCUGCUGCACCUCUUGUAGCAGUAAAUAAAGUGGCCACUCAUGCACA